GAUGAAGAACGUAGCGAAAUGCGAUACGUAAUGUGAAUUGCAGAUUUCAGUGAAUCAUCGAAUCUUUGAACGCACAUUGCGCCCGCUAGUAUUCUGGCGGGCAUGCCUGUUCGAGCGUCAUUUCAACCAUCAAGCCCUAGGCUUGCGUUGGAGCCAUGCGGCUGCCGCAGGCUCCCAAAUCCAGUGGCGGGCUCGUCGUCGUACCGAGUGCAGUAAACAUCCUCGCUCAGGGAACGUGACGGGUUCUUGCCGUGAAACCCCCCACAUAUCAAGGUUGACCUCGGAUCAGGUAGGAAUACCCGCUGAACUUAAGCAUAUCAAUAAGCGGAGGA
rnacentral:misc_RNA from 1 species